GGGAAUGUUUGGCUGCUUGCCUUACCAGAUGUGGUCCUGAGAUAAGCAAGGAGGAGGGGACGAUGUGAAAGAGACUGACAAGAACCCCAGAAAAUGCACACAAGCCCACUUUUUACUGCAGCUGCACGAUCGCUUCAGAACAGGAGACAGGAUGAACAAAAAGCUUCCAGCCUAAUCCUCAAUGCCAUUAUAUGUUAGAUAAGUGGAAGCCAGCUCUCCUAUCAAGUUCAUUCCACGCAAGUCACAUCACCCUUCCCUUUUUAUCCCUGAAAAUUUCAAGCCUUUGGUAUCUCUUAGGGAUGAAAGAUGGAUAUCCAGGCAAGGACAUUAUUAAUUCAGAAAAUGAACUCUGGGACACAGACGCUUCUUGCCCACGUGAUCCUGGAUCAGGAUUGAAUUGGACUUCUGACAGAGGAGUGAGAACAACAUGUAUUUAGUGCCUUACUUUUGUUAUACCUCUGGCUCAGAACUGGUUUCUUUCUGUGACUCCAGCCCAGACGGGAAAGCUCCACUGUUUCAGUCUACUUCCUUCCUGAGCAACUGUGCUGAAGUGUUAACAGCACUAAUUUGUGGAAACGGCCUUAAUCCUAACUGACUUGUUGUGGUCAACUGCAAUUGAUGCCACAGAGCAAAA